ACACAUGCAAGUCGAACGAGAUCUUCGGAUCUAGUGGCAGACGGGUGCGUAACGCGUGGGAACCUGCCCUUUAGUAAGGAAUAACUCAGGGAAACUUGUGCUAAUACCUUAUAAUCCCUUCGGGGGAAAGCUUUAUGCGCUAAUGGAUGGGCCCGCGUUAGAUUAGCUUGUUGGUGAGGUAAUGGCUCACCAAGGCGACGAUCUAUAGCUGGUCUGAGAGGAUGAUCAGCCACACUGGGACUGAGACACGGCCCAGACUCCUACGGGAGGCAGCAGUGGGGAAUAUUGGACAAUGGGGGCAACCCUGAUCCAGCGAUGCCGCGUGAGUGAUGAAGGCCUUAGGGUUGUAAAACUCUUUCGCUAGGGAAGAUAAUGACGGUACCUAGUAAAGAAGAUCCGGCUAACUCCGUGCCAGCAGCCGCGGUAAUACGGAGGGAUCUAGCGUUAUUCGGAAUAACUGGGCGUAAAGCGAGCGUAGGCAGAUUUGUAAGUUGGAGGUGAAAUCCCAGGGCUUAACCCUGGAACUGCCUUCAAAACUACAUUUCUUGAGUUUGGUAGAGGAGAGUGGAAUUCCUAGUGUAGAGGUGAAAUUCGUAGAUAUUAGGAGGAACACCAGUGGGCGAAGGCGACUCUCUGGGCCAAUACUGACG
rnacentral:rRNA from 1 species